rnacentral:rRNA from 1 species
GAUGAACGCUGGCGGCGUGCUUAACACAUGCAAGUCGAACGGAAAGGCCCUGCUUUUGUGGGGUGCUCGAGUGGCGAACGGGUGAGUAACACGUGAGUAACCUGCCCUUGACUUUGGGAUAACUUCAGGAAACUGGGGCUAAUACCGGAUAGGAGCUCCUGCUGCAUGGUGGGGGUUGGAAAGUUUCGGCGGUUGGGGAUGGACUCGCGGCUUAUCAGCUUGUUGGUGGGGUAGUGGCUUACCAAGGCUUUGACGGGUAGCCGGCCUGAGAGGGUGACCGGCCACAUUGGGACUGAGAUACGGCCCAGACUCCUACGGGAGGCAGCAGUGGGGAAUAUUGCACAAUGGGCGGAAGCCUGAUGCAGCAACGCCGCGUGCGGGAUGACGGCCUUCGGGUUGUAAACCGCUUUCGCCUGUGACGAAGCAUGAGUGACGGUAAUGGGUAAAGAAGCACCGGCUAACUACGUG